UGACUCUAGGUUGUGUGAAAUUGGCAAUAAAAACUAACCAGCACACCCAGAGAUCUGAACUAGAGCCCAGCCCUUAAAAGAAUCAGGGAUGUGAUUCUUAGCCUGUCUGCAUUCAGCAUGAUCACUGGUAUAUGCAAGAGGCAGAUGGAUCUCUCAGAAGGACAGAGCAUGUUCAUGAACCUUGAGGUGGUGAUUCUAACCAAGCCACUGUCAGAUCAGCUCUCUUGUAGCAAAUCAGUUGGUAGCUAUUGACUUAGCCAAUGCCUCCCUCCCUGCUUGUGUCAGUAAGUGGAGAGGACCUGAAGCAGUUUGCCUUGCUUCAGGAAACAAAGCACACCAUCUUUCCAGAGUCAUAUUAACUCUGACUCUUUGAACAUCAUUCUGACACCAGGCCUUGACCACUUCACCAUUGCACAGGGCAACAGCGCUCCCACGCAUUGACAAUGAGCUGCUGACAGGACCUAGAAUACCUAAAUCAUUAGAUUCUCCUGAUGUCUGGUAAUAUACAGCCUGCCAGAGUGGGGAAAUAGAUCCUAGGAAAACACAGAAAAGCCUGUCACCUCAGGCAGAUUUGUAGAAGUCCAUAAUCUGAUGCAUACUGGAUAUCUAGGAUAAACUGUGCCCUUUGUUCCUUUUACUAAGGAGGCCCCCUCAGUGUUUAGUGGACUUUUUUCGUAAGACAGAAUCUGGCUAUGUAUCCCAGACUGCCUUGAAACGCUUGUGUAGCCAAGGCUGGCCUCACAUUUGAAUUGUUUUGUGUCUGUCUUCCAGGUGCUGGGAUUAUAGGCCUGCGCCACCGUGCUUGGCUAUAUAAUGGACUUGAGAAAAAUUUGUGGACAUUGCUUAAGCCCAUUUAUGGAUAAAUCCAAGUGCCUCUACCUUUGAUCGGACUUAGAAAAAGUGAGGUUUUUCCAAGCCAUGUACACUCCAGUGAAGUAACAUGCUUGACUUAGGACAGCAAUACUGUCAAGGUCCUUGGUUAUGGUCCUUCAGCUCAGAUGGCCUACCUGCAGCUCUCAAGUCUGAAGACAUAGCACACCAAUAAGGUAAGGUAUGAGGCUGCAACUUGAGUCCUACUGGCAUGCAAAGGGAAUGGGGGAAAUGAAGGUCUUGCUAGACAGGCCAACAACCAGAGCCUUCACUGAAGACUGACUUGUACUGAGAGGACUCAUGCCGAGCUACAUAAUGAACCCAGUUCCACAGCCUCAUGGGCACAGGGGAAUUGGAUUGGGCUGCCAUCUGCUGGUCCAUGGUAUACUCCUUCUAAUCCAAGGAUAUGACUAUAUCCUAGAGGGAUGUAGGUGCGUAUUGCUUCAUCAGAAAGCUCUGCAAGUUUCUCAGCACAUACAAUGGCAUCUAAUGACUCUGUGUAUC